GGAGGGUGGGAGGAGCGCGUUCCCGCAGCAACAGGGAAGAUGGCAGCCCUCGCAUCUCUCAGCCAGCUGUCCAGUGGGAACCCUCUGUAUGACACCUUCUACAGACAGGUGGAUCCUGGAAACACAGGGAGAGUCGGACCGACAGAAGGUGCCCUGUUUCUAAAGAAGUCUGGACUUCCUGAUGUUACGC